rnacentral:rRNA from 1 species
UACGGAGGGGGCUAGCGUUGUUCGGAAUUACUGGGCGUAAAGCGCACGUAGGCGGAUCAGCAAGUUAGAGGUGAAAUCCCAGGGCUCAACCCUGGAACUGCCUUUAAAACUGUUGGUCUUGAGUUCGAGAGAGGUGAGUGGAAUUCCGAGUGUAGAGGUGAAAUUCGUAGAUAUUCGGAGGAACACCAGUGGCGAAGGCGGCUCACUGGCUCGAUACUGACGCUGAGGUGCGAAAGCGUGGGGAGCAAACAGG